rnacentral:rRNA from 1 species
CUUGGCCGUAAGUCCGCGNUAGACAGAGGGGGCGAGCGUUGUCCGGAGUCACUGGGCGUAAAGCGCGCGCAGGCGGCAACCUCAGUGUCGUGUGAAAGCCCCCGGCUCAACCGGGGGAGGCCAUGGCAAACUGGGUCGCUCGAGCUGCGGAGAGGCCCCUCGAAUUGCCGGUGUAGCGGUGAAAUGCGUAGAGAUCGGCAGGAAGACCAAGGGGGAAGCCAGGGGGCUGGCCGCAGGCUGACGCUGAGGCGCGACAGCGUGGGGAGCAAACCGGAUUAGAUACCCCUGUAGUCCCAGCCCUAAACGAUGGGCGCUAGGUGUUGGGGAUUAACCCUCGGCGCCGAAGCUAACGCAUUAAGCGCCCCGCCUGGGGAGUACGCACGCAAGUGUGAAACUCAAAGGAAUUGACGGGGGCCCGCACAAGCGGUGGAGCAUGUGGUUUAAUUCGAUGCAACGCGAAGAACCUUACCAGGGCUUGACAUGCCGCGAACCCUGCGGAAACGUGGGGGUGCCUUCGGGAGCGCGGACACAGGUUGUGCAUGGCUGUCGUCAGCUCGUGUCGUGAGA